UUAACAAAGCACGGAGUGGAAGCCUUGGCACCAGUGAUAUGGACGUUUCAAACACGAAAAGCUGUGGUCUCCGCAUGCCACAGAUCUCCAAAGGGAAACCCAUAAGAGACAAAAUCUGCCACCGGAAACCUCCUUGAGCAGAGAGAAAUUCAACCGAAACCCCGAUAGUAGUGGCGAACGAAUUCGGGAAUUGUUAGUCUUCGCUUUUCGAACCAGGGCGUUCGUACUUAGAGUGUAGCACACUCUUAAACAUGCUUGUCAAUCUGUUACAUUCGAGAAUGUCUGGCUUUCCGUCAAAAGAAAACAGAAGCUAUCGUUUUUUGGAAAACAGAGCCAAAGAAGGUGAUAGCCCUGUAGACAAUGUAGUUUAUUCUUUCUAACACAAUCUUCGAUUGUGUAGAUUGCAAUCAAAGAUUGCAAUCGUGAUUUUCACGAAGAUUUGCAGAUCCUUGUUUUAUUUCGAGGAUAACGGGGGAACCACCCUCCUGGCAAACACCGCUGUGUGACCGAUAGUGAACAAGUACCGUGAGGGAAAGGUGAAAUAGCGUGACCAAAGGUCACUAUGAAAUAGUUCUGAAACCCCGUGCUUACAUCCGACUAAAAGCUCAUAUGAGAUUCGUUUUUCGAAUUUAGUAGGGAGUUUUAGUGUCCCUUUUGCAACAUGGGUCAAAGAGUUCUUUGUAGCAGCUGCUUAAACUGGUAAGUGUAGGCA
rnacentral:rRNA from 1 species